CGAAGGGGCGUAGCGUUGUUCGGAAUUACUGGGCGUAAAGCGCACGUAGGCGGAUAUUUAAGUCAGGGGUGAAAUCCCAGAGCUCAACUCUGGAACUGCCUUUGAUACUGGGUAUCUUGAGUAUGGAAGAGGUAAGUGGAAUUCCGAGUGUAGAGGUGAAAUUCGUAGAUAUUCGGAGGAACACCAGUGGCGAAGGCGGCUUACUGGUCCAUUACUGACGCUGAGGUGCGAAAGCGUGGGGAGCAAACAGGAUU
rnacentral:rRNA from 1 species